CCCUUAGAGUUUGAUCCUGGCUCAGAAUCAACGCUGGCGGCGUGCCUAACACAUGCAAGUCGAACGCGAAAGGGGCUUCGGCCCUGAGUAGAGUGGCGAACGGGUGAGUAACACGUGGGUGAUCUACCUUCGAGUGGGGGAUAACGUUCCGAAAGGAGCGCUAAUACCGCAUGACGUUCCGGGUUUGAAGACCUGGAAACCAAAGCCGGGGACCGCAAGGCCUGGCGCUUGAAGAGGAGCCCGCGUCCGAUUAGCUAGUUGGCGGGGUAAUGGCCCACCAAGGCGACGAUCGGUAGCCGGCCUGAGAGGGCGGACGGCCACACUGGAACUGAGACACGGUCCAGACUCCUACGGGAGGCAGCAGUGGGGAAUUGUUCACAAUGGGCGCAAGCCUGAUGACGCAACGCCGCGUGGGGGAUGAAGGUCUUCGGAUUGUAAACCCCUGUCGAACGAGACGAAAGACUCGCGAGCUAAUCAUCGCGAGAGUGACGGUACCGUUAAAGGAAGCCACGGCUAACUCUGUGCCAGCAGCCGCGGUAAUACAGAGGUGGCAAGCGUUGUUCGGAAUUACUGGGCGUAAAGGGCGCGUAGGCGGCCAUCUAAGUCAGACGUGAAAUCCCCCGGCUUAACCUGGGAACUGCGUCUGAUACUGGACGGCUUGAGUAUGGGAGAGGGAUGUAGAAUUCCAGGUGUAGCGGUGAAAUGCGUAGAUAUCUGGAGGAAUACCGGUGGCGAAGCGGCAUCCUGGACCAUUAUUGACGCUGAGCGCGAAAGCUAGGGAGCAACGGGAUAGAUACCCCGGUAGUCCUAGCCUAAACGAUGAUGCUUGGUGUGGCGGGUAUCGAUCCUGCGUGCGAGCUACGCAUUAG
rnacentral:rRNA from 1 species